UUAGUCAUAUGCUUGUCUCAAAGAUUAAGCCAUGCAUGUCUAAGUAUAAAUAACUUUAUAUUGUGAAACUGCGAAUGGCUCAUUAAAUCAGUUAUGAUCUACGUGACAAAUUCUUUACUACUUAGAUAACCGUGGUAAUUCUAGAGCUAAUACAUGCAAAAAAGCCCUGACUUACGAAGGGGUGCACUUAUUAGAUAAAACCAACGCGGGGUAAAACCUGUUUCUUGGUGAAUCAUAAUAAUUAAGCGGAUCGCAUGGCCUUGUGCCGGCGACGGUCCACUCGAUUUUCUGCCCUAUCAUGGUUGAGAUUGUAAGAUAGAGGCUUACAAUGCCUACAACGGGUAACGGGGAAU
rnacentral:rRNA from 1 species